rnacentral:rRNA from 1 species
GUGGGGAAUCUUCCACAAUGAACGAAAGUCUGAUGGAGCAACGCCGCGUGAGUGAAGAAGGGUUUCGGCUCGUAAAGCUCUGUUGUCGGGGACGAAUGUGCAGUAUUUGAAUAAAGUACUGCAAUGACGGUACCUGACGAGGAAGCCACGGCUAACUACGUGCCAGCAGCCGCGGUAAUACGUAGGUGGCAAGCGUUGUCCGGAAUUAUUGGGCGUAAAGGGAGCGCAGGCGGGAAGGUAAGUCGGUCUUAAAAGUGCGGGGCUCAACCCCGUGAUGGGAUCGAAACUAUCUUUCUUGAGUGCAGGAGAGGAAAGUGGAAUUCCUAGUGUAGCGGUGAAAUGCGUAGAUAUUAGGAGGAACACCAGUGGCGAAGGCGACUUUCUGGACUGUAACUGACGCUGAGGCUCGAAAGCCAGGGGAGCGAACGGGAUUAGAAACCCGGGUAGUCC